GGAUGCGAUCAUACCAGCACUAAAGCAUCGGAUCCCAUCAGAACUCCGAAGUUAAGCGUGCUUGGGCGAGAGUAGUACUAGGAUGGGUGACCUCCUGGGAAGUCCUUGUGUUGCAUUCC
rnacentral:rRNA from 1 species